rnacentral:misc_RNA from 1 species
GAUGAAGAACGUAGCGAAAUGCGAUACGUAAUGUGAAUUGCAGAAUUCAGUGAAUCAUCGAAUCUUUGAACGCAUAUUGCGCUCUCUGGUAUUCCGGAGAGCAUGCUUGUUUGAGUAUCAGUAAACACCUCAACUUCCAUAUCUUUUUUGAAAUGGGAGUUGGACUUGAGUGAUCCCAACGCUUUUCCUCACCGAAAAGUGGCGGGUUACUUGAAAUGCAGGUGCAGCUGGACUUUUCUCUGAGCUAUAAGCAUAUCUAUUUAGUCUGCCUAAAAAACAGAUUAUUACCUUUGCUGCAGCUAACAUAAAGGAGAUUAGUUCUUGUGCUGACUGAUGCAGGAUUCACAAAGACGACUUCGGCCGACUUUGUAAACUCGAUCUCAAAUCAAGUAAGACUACCCGCUGAACUUAAGCAUAUCAAUAAGCGGAGGA